GCUACACUACCGAGUCUGACAUAGCUAAACUUUACACGUAUUCCUCCCCUGUGCUCACUGUACCACUUCGGACCAUUUUUUCCCUCUACUUUGCACUCCGAAUCUGCUUGGUGCCGCCGCUCCCCAAACCAAAAUCGCCGCCGUUAUCGCCAUUGUCCGUCGCCCAGAGUUGGCGAUUGAGGUGCUGGUGUAGGAGGGCCAUGCGAGCCAAGGAAGUUCCGUUGAAACUUGAGCGAGAAAUGUUGAUUUUCGUUCUUUAUCCAGGAGGCCGUCGGAUUGCGAGGCCUUUACUUGGAGGAGAUUAAGGCGUUGGUGUGUGGUGUUGGUUGGACUCGGUGAGGACAUGGCCAUAAAUUGGGGCAAGAAUAUUGAGAUGUGAAUCUGGUGGGUAACGUGACCAUCCCUAGUGGACUGAAUUUCGGGUGUCUCAUGGAAGUUCCCCCUGACUUGGUCCCAGAUGGGAGAUAGACAGCUUAUUGGAUUUACCUUCUGAAGGAUUUAGAGGCCUGCGGUCUCUUUUCUAGCUGGUGUAAGCUGCAAAUGCCGCGGUGUCAUUGAGUGUGCAUGUGAAACCCAGGAGGGAGGCCUGAGACGUAGGCACAUAUCAAUGAGAUGGUGCAGCAAAGUCUGCGUUAUCAUUGGACCGGACCAGGCGACCAGCGGUUGCCACCCGUUGAGAUAGUCAAGCCGCGCGGAUCUAGGAAGUGGUGAGGAGGGGCGGCCUUAGCUGCGGCGAUAGCUCGAGGCUGUGGCCCCUGUGCUGCACCUGGAGAUGAUUGCCCUUUUGCCGUCGUAGGCGCCAGCAAGCAAUCCACGGUAGGUCACGAGGCCAGGUGAGGAGGGGCGGCCUUAGUUGCGAUCCACGGCAAAUCAGGAGGCCAGGUGAGGAGGGGCGGCCUUAGUUGCGGCCAUAGCUCGGCUCCACGGGCAGUUGAGACGGCCAUCGGAGACGGUGUAUGCCUGUACAACGCCCCGGACAUCCUUUGUUCUUUGAAGUACAAUAAUGCUUAACUGAACGAAUCUGGUGCUCUUGAUGUAUAGCAACAAUCCCCAAGCUUCACCUCAAAUGCUCUCCUCUCCCCCUGUCUCCUCAUUGAUGUUAUUUGAUCUUAAGCACAUAAUCAAAUAAAAAGAUUGCAUCCGCGUGGAAA